rnacentral:rRNA from 1 species
GAUGAACGCUGGCGGCGUGCCUAAUACAUGCAAGUCGAGCGAACGGACGAGAAGCCUGCUUCUCUGAUGUUAGCGGCGGACGGGUGAGUAACACGUGGAUAACCUACCUAUAAGACUGGGAUAACUUCGGGAAACCGGAGCUAAUACCGGAUGAUAUUUUGAACCGCAUGGUUCAAAAGUGAAAGACGGUCUUGCUGUCACUUAUAGAUGGAUCCGCGCUGCAUUAGCUAGUUGGUAAGGUAACGGCUUACCAAGGCAACGAUGCAUAGCCGACCUGAGAGGGUGAUCGGCCACACUGGAACUGAGACACGGUCCAGACUCGUACGGGAGGCAGCAGUAGGGAAUCUUCCGCAAUGGGCGAAAGCCUGACGGAGCAACGCCGCGUGAGUGAUGAAGGUCGUCGGAUCGUAAAACUCUGUUAUGAGGGAAGAACAUAUGUGUAAGUAACUGUGCACAUCUUGACGGUACCUAAGCAGAAAGCCACGGCUAACUACGU